AGCUUUAACUGCUUACUUUACUGUACAGUAUUAGCAAUUAUUUAUCCGUACAUGCUAAUACUUUGUAUGAUUGAACAGUUUCAUAUAUUAAGUGAAAUCAUAUUUUGUUUCAAGACUCUAAACUUAGAUGUGUCUAUACUUGCUAAUGAGGUGCCUUUUCUCCACAAGGACUGUAACUUUAAUGAAAAGUUGAACUCAGACUUGAUAGAAAUACAAGAGGGCAUUGAGAUACCUCAGGAGAUCAAGGAAUGGGUCGAGGAUAAACCCAAACCAAAUCUUGAUCAAACAACCUGAUUUAACCUCGGAACCUUAGAAAACCCUAAGCUAAUCCAGAUUGGUAAAGACCUCACUCUAAACCAAAGGAAUGACAUGGUUGCACUAUUAUCCCAAUUCCAG
rnacentral:lncRNA from 1 species